rnacentral:rRNA from 1 species
AGGGUUUGAUCCUGGCUCAGAUUGAACGCUGGCGGCAUGCCUUACACAUGCAAGUCGAACGGCAGCACGGGGGCAACCCUGGUGGCGAGUGGCGAACGGGUGAGUAAUACAUCGGAACGUGUCUUGUAGUGGGGGAUAGCCCGGCGAAAGCCGGAUUAAUACCGCAUACGCUCUACGGAGGAAAGGGGGGGAUCUUAGGACCUCCCGCUACAGGGGCGGCCGAUGGCAGAUUAGCUAGUUGGUGGGGUAAAGGCCUACCAAGGCGACGAUCUGUAGCUGGUCUGAGAGGACGACCAGCCACACUGGGACUGAGACACGGCCCAGACUCCUACGGGAGGCAGCAGUGGGGAAUUUUGGACAAUGGGGGCAACCCUGAUCCAGCAAUGCCGCGUGUGUGAAGAAGGCCUUCGGGUUGUAAAGCACUUUUGUCCGGAAAGAAAACGCCGUGGUUAAUACCCGUGGCGGAUGACGGUACCGGAAGAAUAAGCACCGGCUAACUACGUGCCAGCAGCCGCGGUAAUACGUAGGGUGCAAGCGUUAAUCGGAAUUACUGGGCGUAAAGCGUGCGCAGGCGGUCCGCUAAGACAGAUGUGAAAUCCCCGGGCUUAACCUGGGAACUGCAUUUGUGACUGGCGGGCUAGAGUAUGGCAGAAGGGGGUAGAAUUCCACGUGUAGCAGUGAAAUGCGUAGAGAUGUGGAGGAAUACCCGAUGGCGAAGGCAGCCCCCUGGGCCAAUACUGACGCU